AUUGAACGCUGGCGGCAGGCCUAACACAUGCAAGUCGAGCGGUAGCACAGAGAGCUUGCUCUCGGGUGACGAGCGGCGGACGGGUGAGUAAUGUCUGGGAAACUGCCUGAUGGAGGGGGAUAACUACUGGAAACGGUAGCUAAUACCGCAUAACGUCGCAAGACCAAAGUGGGGGACCUUCGGGCCUCAUGCCAUCAGAUGUGCCCAGAUGGGAUUAGCUAGUAGGUGAGGUAAUGGCUCACCUAGGCGACGAUCCCUAGCUGGUCUGAGAGGAUGACCAGCCACACUGGAACUGAGACACGGUCCAGACUCCUACGGGAGGCAGCAGUGGGGAAUAUUGCACAAUGGGCGCAAGCCUGAUGCAGCCAUGCCGCGUGUGUGAAGAAGGCCUUCGGGUUGUAAAGCACUUUCAGCGGGGAGGAAGGCGGUGAGGUUAAUAACCUCAUCGAUUGACGUUACCCGCAGAAGAAGCACCGGCUAACUCCGUGCCAGCAGCCGCGGUAAUACGGAGGGUGCAAGCGUUAAUCGGAAUUACUGGGCGUAAAGCGCACGCAGGCGGUCUGUCAAGUCGGAUGUGAAAUCCCCGGGCUCAACCUGGGAACUGCAUUCGAAACUGGCAGGCUAGAGUCUUGUAGAGGGGGGUAGAAUUCCAGGUGUAGCGGUGAAAUGCGUAGAGAUCUGGAGGAAUACCGGUGGCGAAGGCGGCCCCCUGGACAAAGACUGACGCUCAGGUGCGAAAGCGUGGGGAGCAAACAGGAUUAGAUACCCUGGUAGUCCACGCCGUAAACGAUGUCGAUUUGGAGGUUGUGCCCUUGAGGCGUGGCUUCCGGAGCUAACGCGUUAAAUCGACCGCCUGGGGAGUACGGCCGCAAGGUUAAAACUCAAAUGAAUUGACGGGGGCCCGCACAAGCGGUGGAGCAUGUGGUUUAAUUCGAUGCAACGCGAAGAACCUUACCUGGUCUUGACAUCCACAGAACUUUCCAGAGAUGGAUUGGUGCCUUCGGGAACUGUGAGACAGGUGCUGCAUGGCUGUCGUCAGCUCGUGUUGUGAAAUGUUGGGUUAAGUCCCGCAACGAGCGCAACCCUUAUCCUUUGUUGCCAGCGGUCCGGCCGGGAACUCAAAGGAGACUGCCAGUGAUAAACUGGAGGAAGGUGGGGAUGACGUCAAGUCAUCAUGGCCCUUACGACCAGGGCUACACACGUGCUACAAUGGCAUAUACAAAGAGAAGCGACCUCGCGAGAGCAAGCGGACCUCAUAAAGUAUGUCGUAGUCCGGAUUGGAGUCUGCAACUCGACUCCAUGAAGUCGGAAUCGCUAGUAAUCGUAGAUCAGAAUGCUACGGUGAAUACGUUCCCGGGCCU
rnacentral:rRNA from 1 species